rnacentral:rRNA from 1 species
UACGAAGGGUGCAAGCGUUACUCGGAAUUACUGGGCGUAAAGGGUGCGUAGGUGGUCGUUUAAGUCCGUUGUGAAAUCCCCGGGCUCAACCUGGGAACUGCGUUUGUGACUGUAUGACUAGAGUACGGUAGAGAGGGGUGGAAUUCCUGGUGUAGCAGUGAAAUGCGUAGAUAUCAGGAGGAACAUCGAUGGCGAAGGCAGCCCCUUGGACCUGUACUGACGCUCAUGCACGAAAGCGUGGGGAGCAAACAGG